rnacentral:rRNA from 1 species
AUUGAACGCUGGCGGAAUGCUUUACACAUGCAAGUCGAGCGGCAGCACGGGGGAAACCCUGGUGGCGAGCGGCGAACGGGUGAGUAAUACAUCGGAACAUGCCCAGUCGUGGGGGAUAACACUUCGAAAGAAGUGCUAAUACCGCAUACGUCCUGAGGGAGAAAGCGGGGGAUCGCAAGACCUCGCGCGAUUGGAGUGGCCGAUGUCAGAUUAGCUAGUUGGUGGGGUAAAGGCCUACCAAGGCAACGAUCUGUAGCUGGUCUGAGAGGAUGAUCAGCCACACUGGGACUGAGACACGGCCCAGACUCCUACGGGAGGCAGCAGUGGGGAAUUUUGGACAAUGGGGGCAACCCUGAUCCAGCCAUUCCGCGUGAGUGAAGAAGGCCUUCGGGUUGUAAAGCUCUUUCGGCAGGAACGAAACGGCGAGCUCUAACAUAGCUUGCUAAUGACGGUACCUGAAGAAGAAGCACCGGCUAACUACGUG